GCCAUUUUCCUGCCUCAGCCUCCUGAGUAGCUGGGUCUACAGGCGCCCGCCAUCACGCCCGGCUAAUUUUUUGUGCUUUUAAUAGAGAUGGGGUUUCACCGUGUUAGCCAGGAUGGUCUUGAUCUCCUGACCUCAUGAUCCGCCCUCCUCGGCCUCCCAAAGUGCUGGGAUUACAGGUGUGAGUCACCGCGCUCGGCCAGGGCAAAUCUCUUUAACUAUUAUAAUUUUCUCAGUUAUAAUCUUGCCAUGGUGGUUUCAAAAGGUGACUGGAAGAAAGCGGAAGGAAUGCUUGCCUCAUCUUGCAGACAUCAGGUGCAUUCCUGAGAAGCUACAGGUGCACAACCUUAGUCAGGCUCUGGGGAUACAGAAGUAACAAGAAGACCAGACCCUUGUUCCAAUGGAGGAGACAUCCUGGGACAUUGUCUAAAAACCAACCUGCUCCAAAUCUUAUCUCAGGCUCUGCUUUCAAAAGAACUCAAACCAGUUGGAAGUACCCCAAAGGAAUAUCUAUCUACCCAUCUGUCCUGCCACAAAACAGAUCAUUCUCAACAGCAGUGGAAAUAGAAUCAGCUCCAUUGCCUGGGAAUCAUUCUUGUCAGGAGUGCUUUCGUUCUAACCUAGGUAAAGGAUCCAAACAAGCAGACUACACACAGAAAGAUGACUUCAUUUCUUCACCGAGUGUUUCGUGAGUGUCUGCUGCAUGCUGGACACUAGCAAAGGCAGAAGGAAUUCAACCACAACUGAAAUGAACACCGGGUAUCCAAGGGCAGGAGGAAAAUGCUGGAGAAAGGACCUCAAGUCAAGUGAUGGAUGGCUUCAAGGAAGGCACAACAGAGAGCUGUUGGGGUCCAGGAGAAGAAGUAUGUAAUUCUGUCUGGGUGGAGUGGGCAGAAGCAAACAAACAAACAAAAAUGUUUCUUUUCGGGCAUGGUAGCUCACAUCUGUAAUCCCAGCACUCUGAGAGGCUGAGAGAGGAGGGUCACUUGAGCUCAGGAGCUCAAGAUCAGCCUGUGCAAUGUAGCGAGACCUCAUCUCUAUGAAAAAUAUAAAAAUUAGCCAGGCAUGAUGGCAUGUACCUGUAGUCCCAGUUAUUCUGGAGACUGAAGUCAAGGCUGCAGAGAGCUAUAAUUGUGCAGCUGUACUCCAACCUAGGCAACAGAUCAAGGCCCUGUCUCGCAACUACAACAACAAAAACAAAAAAAUGGUUCCAUAGUAGAAGUAAUGCCCAAGCUGAGCUUUGCAAUGCGAGUCAAGAAUACCUGGGAUGAUGUUGGGAAAAGGAAAUUCAAAUUCUAUAUCAGACUUCUUCAUAAUUCCUGUCAUUAAAGAACUCUCAGCCCACUUCCCUCAAAGCCUACCAUCAGCCCAAACUUUCAGUGGAAUUCAUAAUUAUUGUUCAGCUCCACUUGUAAUUUUCUUUUUGGAAACACUUGAUUGGAAGAUGAUUAUGAGAGGGUUAAUGAAAAAAAGAGCCCCCAAAAAUGCUAAACGCCAGGACGUCAGAUGAUGGAGAGAGAGGAUCCCUUGAAUCUAAUUUAAACUAAAAAGAUGUUUUUGAAACCAAAAAUAAAUCUUGCUCCAGAGUGAUUACCAGAUAAAA
ensembl:lncRNA novel transcript